CUCAUCUGCUGAGUCCCUCUCUCAGGGAUUCUAAUUCAUCUGCUCUUUUUCUGUUUGGGGGACAAGCACAUGGCCUGUAGCCUAUGCUUUUUCAUUUACAUUAAGCCUUUUAGUGGGAGAAAGAACUGCAAAAGCAACAGUCCUUCCGUUCUCUUGGGCUGCCUGUGAAAUCAAGCCUGGAACAGCCUUCCCCUGAGUCCCACUCUGCUGCCCUGCCCAUCACCUUUUCCUUUUCUAAUUUGUUCUGUUUCUUCUCACAUCCCCACUCCUGGGCUCCCAUGUAUAGCUGUGCAAGUUGUGGACUGCACAACCGCCCCUGCCCUAACCCCUGCUGUAUUAUCCUUGCCAUCCCUCCCCAGUCCCUCCUACCCCACAGAUCCCUUCCUUUUACUUCAUUUCCUGCAAGUCCUUCCUCCCUAACUGUCUCAAGGGGAAAGCCUGGCCUCUGUAGGGCCUGACUCACAUCCAUCAACCUUGGCAGGGUGGGGCAGGUCCAAGGCCAGGUGUCUACCGCUUAAGAGAGUCAAGGGGCCUCCUUUCCCAGCGGGCUGCCCCAAACCACUCACAAAACCCAGAAUCUCUUGCUCAUCGCAGGUUUGCUUUGCCAGAUGUAAAUUGUUCUCUAGGUUCACCAAGAGGCCAUAGAAGCUGCUUCAUAAAUAAGCUUAGCGUGUUUUCCCUUUAACCUGGCAGGCUCCCCCCUCCCUCGACACAAUUUUGCUGGAACUACAUAAAUACAUCCUCCUAGCGUCCUGCACAGUUCACAGCCUCAAGCACUGUUUAAAAAAGUUAACAUGUUUAAUCUCCGUAACGAUAUAAGUAUUGACCAAUUUUACCAGAAAAGGAGGGGCGGGAAAAAAAAAAAAAAAACAACUACAACCCACCACCAAAACCCGAGGCUGGGGUCACAUGCCUGAGGCUGGAACCGAAGUCUACUGGUCCCAAAGCCUAUGUCCUUAGUCACUACACCCUAAGGUCUCCAGUCCCCCUGAGCUGCCCCAGCCCUGCCUCGCCCACCUUCCCUGCCCCCCUCAACAUCUGCCCUCACGGCUCAUCACGCCGGCCUCACCUCUCAGCCCUGAGUGGUCAGCUGGGCUGCCUUCCUGCCUUCCCCCCACCUCACAUAGGUUCCCCUGGGCUACUUCAAGCCACUGUCACCUUAACACUGCUGUCCCUGUCAGCACAGGGAACAGCCUGGGGAACCCCUCGCUUAGGAAUAUCCCCACGGGGCUGGCAUUCCUGCUGGCUGUCCCCACAGACAGGACCCAAACACACGACAUUCUCCCCUCCCUUUCAGACCCCCGAAGUCACCUUCCUUUGGUUCUGCGGCACAGACGGGACAUAGGCCCACAGCGUCCCCUAUGGCUUGAACUCCUACCUUAAUGAACCAAUAGGGACAAGGAAAUCCUCAUCCUCAACAACUACACCAGGCCCAGGCCGGAUGGCUAGCUGCCCCCUCCCUCCCAAGCCUCCUCCCUCCCCGCACCCUCCGCCCCAGCCCUCAGGGACCAAGAUGGGGAAACUGUCCUAUAAUAGCAUUUUACAGGCACGUGCUCAUGACCUAGGUAUUUCUCUCAUCUGGUUAUCUUUAGAAACACGGGGAGGGAAUGGGGGAUUAAAGAAAUCCUCCCCUGCUUCCAUCUUGGAAAAAAAAAAAAAAAAGGCAGAACAUUCUGAUUCACUAACCUUAUCUUUAAAGAAACCUGACAUGGAAAAGGCAGGGAGAUAAGAUCUAUGACUUCAUCAGCUUGUUCUCUGAAGUUGUUUCAAGUUCUCCCAUCCCCCCCACCCAAAGGCCCCUUCAUUUCCUGUUUUCAAUAUGUAAUGGCAAGGAAUUCACAGCCGAGUGAGCCUGGGGGUCAGCGCAGGAAGCUGGCGCAGAGAGGAAGCUUUUAAGAGCCAAACUGAAAUCUGGCCACAAGUCAGGAGCAUCUCUUUUUAAUUCAGAUUUCUUUCUUUCUUUCUUUUUUUUUUUUUUUUUUUGCCUUAACUUUGCGGUCAGCGGCUCUGGAUGGCUUGUGGUCUCAGAACAGCUGCUGGUUUGGAAUAUCUUAAAUGCAAUGUGAAAGCGCAUGAGGGUUCAAAUUAAAAAAGAGAAGGAGAACUCUGCCAUUUCAUAGCAGGAAUUCUUGACAACCUCUCUCUUUCAAGAUGCUCCAAAUGCCUCCCAGACGCCCUUGUAUCAGCUCUUGCCGCCUCCCACGGUGGAGGCCAAGGAACUGGUACCAUCUGAAUCACUUUGUGCCGGGGAAAACAGAGACACCCACGUGUUCCUGCUUACACGGGUGGACAGGUGCCAUGUGGAAUUCAUGCCUCCAUCGGUAGCAGACCCUGGUGAUGUCCGUCCUACAUCGCCCUGACCCCCCAAGUUCCCUGCAGCAUGGCUGGGCAGCUUCAAAGGAUGCUGACAGCUUGGAUUGAGGCCCUAGGCUUCCUGGCCUCUGGAGUAAGGAUUCUCAGCACGUUCCACACGAUGCCUCAGAAAGUCCCCAGGGAGACAGUGCCCCAUUGCCCACAGCAGUAACAUGCUUGUUAAAGCACCUGUCCUAGGCCGUGCUUCCCCUCCCGUCUCCCUUUUCUCACUCCCUCAGUGGUGCCUCCUAGGUGUUCUCCUGAAUAAACCAUCUGCAUCCCUUA